UAGUUGAAAGAUUGAAAGGGAUUUCAUGGGCUUGAAUUCAAAAGAUUCCAAUUUCAUGGUCAAAGAUGAAGCUGAUGAAGUAUGCAAAGAAUCAGUAUCGUAAAUAAAUAGCUCUGGGCAGAUCAUUGACGUUGAUCAAGACAUACAUUUCUGAGUGCCCAGACAAUGUUGUUGUGAUGUCUCCAAUUAACCAUACAGACUGACAAAUCCCAAGGUGCAACAAUUGAUGGAAAUUCUUGAUGUUGUUCAGCGCAUUAGCAAAAGGUGGCUAACUUACGGACCAUCUAAAACAGAGAGAAAGGGUUCCGACCACGAUUCUUACCGGAUGUCGCUUAUAUGGAGAUAGCCGAGCACGAUUAGUCGGUUUGUUGUUUAAAUACUCAUAUACAUCUCGCCUCUGAUUGGGUUCUGCUCUUUUUUAUUCGUGUCAUAGGUCUGAUUGCAAGGGGUUUUUCUUUUUGUCAUGGCGCUCUUGGUGUCCCUCUUACACUCGCAAAAAAGCAGCCAAGGUAUACGAAUUAAUUACAACUUCACAAAGGUCCCAGCCAGGAUAUGAUUUACAAUGAUAACAGUCAAUUUCAUGCUCCCACAUUUGUAAGGUUGGUUUCUGAGGGGAAUCCAUUGUUUUUAAAUAAAAUGGUGAAAGACACCAGCAGC